AAACAAAUCAGGAAGAUACCUUUGUGGACGUGUGGUGUUUUGCUAAAUGCAGAGUGUUUUGCAGAGACAGAUCUGUUACGAUGGUAAACAUUGACAACGUUGGGGACUGCGGAGAGGUCGCGCCAUCCACCUGUCCCAGCUCUCUGGUGCUGGAGUCAGACAUGUUGGGGCAGUACUGCAAGCAGUAAAGAUGCCCAGCUUCUCUGACGCUACCACAGUUCGCACUGCUAGUACAGCUCCGGGCAGCCAGAGUCGCUGGGAUGAAAUAAGGGCAGUACAUGGCAAGACAAAUAACUGAGCUACCUACAUCUCCAGCCAAGGCGCUGGUAGACCAUGCUGGCGUGUGUUUGGGUACGAUGAAGAAUUUACUUACUGCAGCAGACUGAAAGUGAAGGUCUGGCUUGGAUGGUGUUCCCAAACCUGGCAUCCAUAUCCCGCAUUUAGGUAGCUAAAUCUGUCACUUACAUGCUUUAGAUACAUGUGUUAAUUGCACAAAUGCCAACAAAAAUGACAUGUUUUUAAAGUGUUAGAAGUGUAAAUAGCUGCUCUUCUGAAAUGGCCACAGUGUAUAUUUUUAGCUCCUACGUACUCUUGCAAAUGCAUCAUAUUUGUUGUAGCAUCUAGCUAUAAUAACGUUAUUAGUAUCUGUUUGUAAUACUAUUGAUGCUCCUGCAAAAAGCGCUGUAGAAUAUACUUUAAAUACUGGCUUUUUGUACGUCUCACACAACUAUUCAUUAAUACCACGGGAACAGCGUGCUACUGUUCCAGGUUUUGUGAGAACCAGCGC